AAAAAGAAGAUUUAAGAAAAAAAAGAAAGAGGAAGACCUCUAAAAAAAAAAAAGUUAAAAAUAAGUUAUAUAUUUAUUCCCCAACCUCCCCAACAGAUAUUGUAUGCAUUUGGCCUUGCCACAGAUCGUGACAAUGAGGAUUUUAUACAUCCCAUACACUAAUCUGGGUGUCAUAUUGAUAACCAUAGGCUUUUUAAAAUAAAUAUUCAUGUGGUUGAUGGAUAGCAAUCUCCGCUAGCCUCCAAAAAAAAAAAAAAAAAAUCAAAUAAACUACUCUUGAACAAAGCAUAAUUUGUUCGAUUCUUCUGAACAAGGUUUUGUAAAUAGACGCUUGUUAAUGUAAGGAUCGGUUUGGC